rnacentral:tRNA from 1 species
GGGGAUGUGGCGGAACUGGUAGACGCGCACGUUUGAGGGGCGUGUGAGGCAACUCGUGAGAGUUCGAGUCUCUCCAUCCCCA